UGUGANUUGCAGANUUCCGCGAAUCAUCGAGUUUUUGAACGCAUAUUGCGCCCGAGGUUCACGCCGAGGGCACGUCUGUCUGAGCGUCA
rnacentral:rRNA from 1 species